CCUACGGGAGGCAGCAGUGAGGAAUAUUGGUCAAUGGGCGUAAGUCUGAACCAGCCAAGUAGCGUGAAGGAUGACUGCCCUAUGGGUUGUAAACCUCUUUUAUAUGGGAAUAAAAUGUUCCACGUGUGGGGUUUUGUAUGUACCAUAUGAAUAAGGAUCGGCUAACUCCGUGCCCGCAGCCGCGGGAAUACGGAGGAUCCGAGCGGUAUCCGGAUUUAUUGGGGUUAAAGGGGGCGGAGGUGGGUUGUUAAGUCCGUUGUGAAAAUUUGCGGCUCAAACCUAAAAUUGCAGUUGAAACUGGCAGUCUUGAGUACACUAGAGGUGGGCGGAAUGCGUGGUGUAGCGGUGAAAUGCUUAGAUAUCACGAAGAACUCCGAUUGCGAAGGCAGCUCACUGGAGUGCAACUGACACUGAGGCUCGAAAGUGUGGGUAUCAAACAGGAUUAGAUACCCGGGUAGUC
rnacentral:rRNA from 1 species